AGCCCGGUAGUGUAGCGGCCAAGCAUACGGGGCUUUGAACCCUGUGACAAUGUCAAGCACUCCGCUUGGGAUCGCAAACACGGUUCGAAUCCGUGCCGGGCUA
rnacentral:tRNA from 1 species